UAGAACAGCAGAUUGAUUAGGAUGAAAAACAAAUUGACUUUUUCUUUUUAAAUUUCGUGCUCAAAUACAUUGACCUGUUUGUGUUUUGAAAUUGUUUUGGCUCUUAUAAAGUAAAUGGCAUAUUUCAAAGCUACCAGUAGCGAAUACCGGUACAUCUGUAUCAUUGUUGUCACUAUUCACUUUUUUGUAUUCGGUAAGGCUACUUUACCGUGUCGACCGGCAGAAGAAGGAAAGCCCUAUACUUUAUCUGCACCAUGUUUUCCCAAAGGACACGGUGAGACGACUGUAUACUGGGUGAAAGCCAUGAGUGUAUUUUCAGAGUGCACACUCGAGAAGUGCUCGGACAGAAAUGAGAACUUGACCAGAACAGCUCUGACCAUCACUUCAACAGGAGACUAUGUUUCGACGCUACAUUUAUAUAACGUCCAUAGACACUCCACCGGAUUGUGGAGACUCAAAUAUCCUAGGCUUGCCAUAGAUGACUGCAAGCUGGAAGUUUUCGGUA
rnacentral:sRNA from 1 species